rnacentral:tRNA from 1 species
UGGAAUGUAGCUCAGUGGUAGAGUACACACAUUUAGCAUGUUCAGAGCCCUGGGUUUGAUCCCCAGCACUCUAA